AACGAACGCUGGCGGCGCGCCUAAUACAUGCAAGUCGAGCGAGAAGGUGUAGCAAUACACUUGUAAAGCGGCGAACGGGUGAGGAAUGCAUGGGUAACCUACCCUCGAGUGGGGAAUAACUAGCCGAAAGGUUAGCUAAUACCGCAUACGUUUCCGGAACUUCGGUUUCGGAAAGAAAGCAAUACCGUGGGUAUUGCGCUCCUGGAUGGGCUCAUGUCCUAUCAGCUUGUUGGUGAGGUAACGGCUCACCAAGGCUUCGACGGGUAGCUGGUCUGAGAGGACGAUCAGCCUCACUGGCACUGCGACACGGGCCAGACUCCUACGGAGGCAGCAGUAAGGAAUAUUGUCGCAAUGGACGAAAGGUACUGACGCAGCGACGCCG
rnacentral:rRNA from 1 species